rnacentral:rRNA from 1 species
GAUGAACGCUGGCGGCGUGCCUAAUACAUGCAAGUCGAGCGAACAGACGAGGAGCUUGCUCCUCUGACGUUAGCGGCGGACGGGUGAGUAACACGUGGAUAACCUACCUAUAAGACUGGGAUAACUUCGGGAAACCGGAGCUAAUACCGGAUAAUAUAUUGAACCGCAUGGUUCAAUAGUGAAAGACGGUUUUGCUGUCACUUAUAGAUGGAUCCGCGCCGCAUUAGCUAGAUGGUAAGGUAACGGCUUACCAAGGCAACGAUGCGUAGCCGACCUGAGAGGGUGAUCGGUCACACUGGAACUGAGACACGGUCCAGACUCCUACGGGAGGCAGCAGUAGGGAAUCUUCCGCAAUGGGCGAAAGCCUGACGGAGCAACGCCGCGUGAGUGAUGAAGGUCUUCGGAUCGUAAAACUCUGUUAUUAGGGAAGAACAAAUGUGUAAGUAACUAUGCACGUCUUGACGGUACCUAAUCAGAAAGCCACGGCUAACUACGUG